rnacentral:rRNA from 1 species
AACGAACGCUGGCGGCGUACUUAACACAUGCAAGUCGAACGCGAAAGGGACUUCGGUCCUGAGUAGAGUGGCGCACGGGUGAGUAACGCGUAAGUAAUCUACCCCUGUAUUCGGAAUAACCCACCGAAAGGUGAGCUAAUACCGGAUACGUUUAUCUUGAUGCGAAUGAUGAUAAAGAAAGGUGGCCUCUUCAUGAAAGCUACUGUACAGGGACGAGCUUGCGUACCAUUAGCUAGUUGGUAGGGUAAUGGCCUACCAAGGCGACGAUGGUUAGCGGGUCUGAGAGGAUGAUCCGCCACACUGGAACUGGAACACGGACCAGACUCCUACGGGAGGCAGCAGUGAGGAAUAUUGCGCAAUGGGGGCAACCCUGACGCAGCGACGCCGCGUGGAUGAUGAAGGCCCUUGGGUCGUAAAAUCCUGUCAGAUGGAAAGAAAUGUAUAGCAGCUAAUAUCUGUUAUAUUUGACGGUACCAUCAAAGGGAGCACCGGCUAACUCCGUGCCAGCAGCCGCAGUAAAAC